CCUACGGGUGGCAGCAGUGGGGGAUAUUGCACAAUGGGGGGAACCCUGAUGCAGCGACGCCGCGUGGGUGAAGGAGUGCUUCGGCAUGUAAAGCCCUAUCGGCAGGGAAGAAGCAAGACGGUACCUGACUAAGAAGCCCCGGCUAACUACGUGCCAGCAGCCGCGGUAAUACGUAGGGGGCGAGCGUUAUCCGGAUUCACUGGGUGUAAAGGGAGCGUAGACGGCCAUGCAAGCCAGGGGUGAAAGCCCGGGGCCCAACCCCGGGACUGCCCUUGGAACUGUGCGGCUAGAGUGCGGGAGGGGCAGGCGGAAUGCCUGGUGUAGCGGUGAAAUGCGUAGAUAUCAGGAGGAACACCGGCGGCGAAGGCGGCCUGCUGGUCUGCAACUGACGCCGAGGCUCGAAAGCAUGGGUAGCGAACAGGAUUAGAUACCCGUGUAGUC
rnacentral:rRNA from 1 species